rnacentral:rRNA from 1 species
GUAAUAGCUCACUGGUCGAGUCGGCCUGCGCGGAAGAUGUAACGGGGCUAAACCAUGCACCGAAGCUGCGGCAGCGAACGUAUCACCCAAGACAACUUUGCGGAGUUGACGAUUGACGGAGCGAAGCGACGUCAAAGCGUUCAUUAAAGUCGAGUUGGCUUAGGGAUACGUUCGUUGGGUAGGGGAGCGUUCUGUAAGCCUGUGAAGGUGGCCUGUGAGGGUUGCUGGAGGUAUCAGAAGUGCGAAUGCU